GACGAACGCUGGCGGCGUGCCUAAUACAUGCAAGUAGAACGCUGAAGGAGGAGCUUGCUCUUCUGGAUGAGUUGCGAACGGGUGAGUAACGCGUAGGUAACCUGCCUGGUAGUGGGGGAUAACUAUUGGAAACGAUAGCUAAUACCGCAUAAGAGUAGAUGUUGCAUGACAUUUACUUAAAAGGUGCAAUUGCAUCACUACCAGAUGGACCUGCGUUGUAUUAGCUAGUUGGUGGGGUAACGGCUUACCAAGGCGACGAUACAUAGCCGACCUGAGAGGGUGAUCGGCCACACUGGGACUGAGACACGGCCCAGACUCCUACGGGAGGCAGCAGUAGGGAAUCUUCGGCAAUGGACGGAAGUCUGACCGAGCAACGCCGCGUGAGUGAAGAAGGUUUUCGGAUCGUAAAGCUCUGUUGUAAGAGAAGAACGAGUGUGAGAGUGGAAAGUUCACACUGUGACGGUAUCUUACCAGAAAGGGACGGCUAACUACGUG
rnacentral:rRNA from 1 species